rnacentral:lncRNA from 1 species
UUUGAUAAAGAUACAUAAAAAUAGCGGUUGAUGACAAUUAAAAGACUACUACAAUUGAUGAUUAUUACAAUUAAUGACCAUUACAGACAAAAUUGAUAAUCAUUACACAAAAAGAGAUCAUGAGCAAACAGAAGAUCAAUUAUUUAAUUAUUGGGUUCUGUAUUUGUAAAUGCGCUUUAUUGUUGUGUUGGGAACUUGGGCCUGUUAGGAAAAAACUCCCUACCCGUCUCUGAUGUCGAUGGUGGAGAAAAUGGAGAUGACGGUGACGAAUUUUUGAGAUUUGUGAGAUACUGCAAAUGAAAGAAGUCAACUUAAGAAGUUUACUUUCGAAAUCAACUCAAGAAGUCUGCUUUCGGAGAUGACAGUGAUGAAUUGUUGAGAUUUGUGAGAUACUGCAAAUGAAAAGAGUAAAAAUUAAACAUCAACCCAAGUAACAAAUCUAAUAAAGAAGAGGAAGAGGAGGUUUCCGAGACACACAUAAUCACAGAUCUGAUUACUAAACUAAAUCAAAUUAGUUAUGACACUUAGAUCUUAGUACAUUAUGAAUAAAAAAAUUCAAAGUGGAUCCCAAUUAAAUAAAACCAAAAUUUCUGGACAAAGCUAAUAAGUAAAAAGAAGAAACUUGAAAAAGCUAACAAUUUGAAACAGACAUCAAAGCCAUACCCAGACAAAGCUGCACGGCGGUGAGGAAGUCGACGGUGGACCUCUUUUGUUGCUCACUAUGUUGAGGUCACCUACAGUGAAGAUCAAACAAACGUUUCCCUAAAAACAAAAAGCAGAGUAUAAUCUAAAGAGAUAUUUCUAACCUGAAACAGCAUAGAAAAAGACCUCGUGUACAGCUCGUUCGCAAGCAGAUCUAAAAAAAUCGAUGUUCUCGUUUAAUCUGAAACAGAAGGGAAGCGCCAUUUUAGAGAGAGAGGUUUGAGUUUUCAUUUUUACAAAAUUAGGGUUACAAACGUGGGCUUCCUUUAUAUAGGGACCUCUUUUGUUGCUCACUAUGUUGAGGUCACCUACAGUGAAGAUCAAACAAACGUUUCCCUAAAAACAAAAAGCAGAGUAUAAUCUAAAGAGAGAUUUCUAACCUAAAACAGCAUAGAAAAAGACCUCGUGUACAGCUCGUUCGCAAGCAGAUCUAAAAAAUCGAUGUUCUCGUUUAAUCUGAAACAGAAGGGAAGCGCCGUUUUAGAGAGAGAGGUUUGAGUUUUCAUUUU